GUUCCACUUUCCAGACUGCUGCCAGAGGAAAUUUUCAAAAUGCAACCAUGGUCACAUCACCUUCCACUCUCAGCUUCUUACCUCCCAAAGGCUUCAUUCUCUUACAGCUGGGUGUCUCAACCUCAGCGCUAUUGACGUUUGAGCCUCGUAAUUCUCUACUAGGGGGGCAACCUGUGACUAUAGGAUGUUUAGCAAGCUGGCCUCUACCCACUAGAUGCCAGUAGGACCCUGCCUGCUCCUGCCAAGUUGGGACAGCCAAAAAUGUUUGCAGACAUCACCAAAUGGCCCCUAGAAAGAUUGCCUCUCCUCCACGCUGCUCCCUUCCCAGGGACUUUGCACCUCCCAGCCCUCCCUGAGGAGCCUCUCCCGGCCUCCCUUGCCUCUUCACCAUCCUUCAGACCUCAGCUCGAUGGUGACUUUUCAAUGUCAGCCAUUCUGGGUCGAAGUGGGGAGGUGGACGGCAGGCACCGAUCGGACGACCCGAGGAAUAAACGUGCAGACACUGUCGUAAGUGUCGGGAAGUGAGGGUGAGAGGCUCUGGCUGCUGUUAAAGGGGGGCUUUGACCUAGUCAGGGAGGCAGAGGGGAGCUCAAAGCACGAGGAUGCUUUGACCAGGCGCAAAGGGAGGGAACGGUGUUCCAGGCAGAGGGCCCAGCAUGUGCAAAAGCACAGAGGGGAGGGGAUUUGUGUCAGAGGAGCCACACAAAGCCAGUGUGAUGGGUGUAGGGCGAGAGAGCUGGGGAUGGCGGGAGAUGAGAGGCAGGGGGAUGAGCUCGCAGAGGACUAGAAUGGGAAACGGUCUAGGGAAAUGGUCUGUGCUGUUCAAGGAUUUUGUCCUUGGAGCGCAUGAAGCCAGCGACGGGCUUUAGCAGGCUUAGCCGACGUGGUCAGGUUUACCUUCUCAAGACAUCACGGUGGCUGUCGUGUGACCCAGUCCAGAGUUUAUCUAAAGAUCCCUUCCUCUCCCCUCCCCUCAUCUCCGGCCCCCUGAGCCCCUCGGACUGGAACCAGGGAGCAGGAAGGUUGGGAUUUGCCAUGAGACAGAAGGGACUGUCCCUCCAUUUGAGCCAGCCGGCUGCACAAUGAUUCUCCUCUUGCCAAUUACCUUGCCGUUUCCAAGGGCACUUCACCGCUGGAGGAAUGAAUGGGGCUCGGUGCGGCCUUAUAUAAGAGUUGGACUUCCCUCGUGGCUGGAAAAUAGGGCUCCUGUCAGACAAGCAGCCCCUAAGAGCACGCCUUGGAUCUGAUAAACAGACGUUGGCAAAUGGGAGGUUUGAAGGUGGUGCCAAGCUCUGUGGUUUGGACUGUUCCUGCGAGUGAAACAAUGGAAGCAGCUAACCAUCUGCAGGAGGGAAAAAGUAGGGAAACUCAGCCUGAGACACAAAGAGGCAGUGUAGGGGACAGAGGGCAGGCGGUGGCCGCAUUCACAGGCCUGCCCUGCUACCGCAGCCUUGCAGAUUACUACCAGCCCAGCCAGCAGGACGCCAUGUUUGCAGGGCGAGUGGACUCUCCCCAGGAUUCACUCACAUUCCUUCCCGUGGUGCCUGUAUUUGGCAUUGCGCUUUUUUAUUAUUUCUCUUCCACUAAGGGGCUUAACUUGUUGGGUUUGGACAAGAACUGGGCAGACAGCUGUGGCCACUUGCCUGUUGGGAUCUAAUCCUGUCUCUUCUGUGUGUGACGGUGUCCCACGUGUCCCCAGGUGGGUGCUACCAUUGUUUUAGAACAGAGAUUCCGCACCAGGGGCCCACGAGCCUCGUUUUCUGUGAGGCACUGAUGGUAACCUGGUGGGAAGUGCAACCUCAGCCGGCAGAGGACAGGUGACUGUUGGGUGCUUGAAGGCCAGCUUCUGGGCCAAGCACAUGAAUGGAGCAGUCUGGCUGUCCUCUCGCUCACUCUUUCUGUCUUUCUCUCUCCAUCUCUUGGCUUCCUCUCUGACCCUUCACAUCACACUGCAGCGACUUGUCAAUUUUUAAGGAGUGGAAAGUAAACUGACCCUUUGGGGAUAGACAUCAGGUUCUUAUUCUGUCAUGCCUUUUUAGCCCAAACACCCAAAUUUAGUAAAAACACAAAAAAUUCUAGGGCAAGACUUUAAACUUCUACAAGAGAUUAAACUUCACCUCUGUGGCAUUUUUCCAAGGGUCAUAUCCAGGGUCACAAAAUCCCAGAGACCCAUUGUAACCACAACCCAUUCUGGCUUAGGGUUUAGGGAAAGGCAGGUCCAAGUUCAGAGCUUUCGUUUAUUCAUUCAUUCAACAAGGUUGCUGAGCACCUGCCAGGGACCCGGUGCUCUCCUGGACUCUGGGAUUCCAGGUCCUUACUCUUGUGGAAUCUCCAUUCUCACGGCAGCGACAGACACUAACCCGUGAAUGAACAGGGUAGUUUCAGCCCUGGACAAUAAAAUGGGCGUGUGUUGGAGGCAUGAGGGUGGGGAGGACAGUGUCAGAUGGGGUGGUUGGGGAAGGCUGCUCCGAGGCGGCGACAUCUGAGCUCAGACCUGUGUGGCCAGAAGGAGCCUGGAAAGAUGCCUGGGCCGAGCCUUCCAGCCCAUCAGAACAGCAGAUGCAGAGGCACCGAGGUGGGAACCGCUUGAGCUGUUCAGAGAACAGAAGGAGGGCUGGUGAUGGAGGAGGAGAGCGAGGACGUGAGCCUGGAGAGGGCUGCGGGGACCAGACCCCGCUCGCAGGGCCCGCCAGGCCCCAGGAAGGAACUGGAUUAUAUCUAAAGGACACCGGAGCGCCAUGAUCUGAUUUAGGGUUAGAAGACCUCUCGGGCUACUAUGUUGAAAACAGACCAUAAGGGAAUAGAAACGGGAGCCCAGAGGCCGCUGAGGAGGGUCAGGUGGCCUCAGGGGAGUAAUGACAGCAGACAGGGACAGAGUGAGGAGGAGAGAUGCCCCAGCUAGGCGGCUUUUCACCACCUGUAAUUGCCUCUCUCCAGCAAACCACGUUUCUUCCACAUUAGCAUCACUGGAAAGCAACAGAACCCUGACUUCUGGGGGUCUCCCUGCUGGUGGCGGAAACAAAGCCCCAUUGCGUGAGUGCACCAGACACACGAGGGGGCGCAUCCUGAAGGAGGCUCAGGGGAAUGUGGGCUUCGUUUCCUUCCGUUUCCUCAUCAUCUCUAGCUCACAAUCUCAAGGAAGAGAUACACUCACUCAUUUGUUUACACAUUGUCUUGUUCCAAAACAAUAGAAUCUCUAAGUAAAUUAUAGAGAGGAAACCACAGGGAGUGAAGGUGUG
ensembl:lncRNA